rnacentral:lncRNA from 1 species
CUAUUAGACUCGGUAGGGGUCGCUCCCUUUCAAGUGCCGCUCCGGACGCUGGCUAGUUAUAGCAGAGAUAUGUGCUCUUAGGAAGACGCUACAACAGAAUUAGGUUAUAGAGACACAUGUCUGGGACAUUUUUGUGUAAGUGUCCCAUUUAUGUCAAAACUUAAAAAAAAAUCUACUAAUGCCUAAAUAUAAAGCCCAAUCCAAUUAAAAAUAAAAGAUUACUCUACUCAACCCACCCCAUCCAGUCCAUUCGGUCCGAUUACAAAUAGAAAAGAAAAAAAAAUAGAAAAAUCGAUUACUAUCUUUCCUUCUCCACUUACUCAAUCUACCGAAAUCCUAGACGAAGAGCCCUUCCCUCUCAUCCUCCUCUGCCACCGCAGCCAACGAGGCAGAGUUCCGGCGAUUACUAAAUGCUUAAAUAAGUGUUGGUAAAUUAGCAGCACUCUUUUUAGGUUAUAACGACACUCUUUAACUAUUACUAUAUAACUAGCGACCCCACAUAUAGCAACACUUUUUAAAAGUGUCGGUAAUUUAGCUAGCAGCACUUUUUUUGACCUGUACAAUAUUUAAAAGUGUCGCUAUAGACCGUUUUUGUUGUAGUGAUGACCCAUCUACGGGAGUGAUAUUCGGGCUAGGAGUAGAGCCUAUUGUGUUGGUGGUGCACCUGCGGGAGUGCGAUCCGGGCACUACGCGGGCACAGGCUUGACCGAACGUGCGAGUCAGUCGUUGCGAUUGGGUACUAUUACAACAGUUGUUUCUUAGUAGUAGCAUUGAUGCAUGCACUGAUCAGCUUCCUUCCCUUCCUUUCAUUACAUCACCAGUGAUAUGA